GACGUAGGGGGCGAGCGUUGUCCGGAAUUAUUGGGCGUAAAGAGCUCGUAGGCGGUCUGUUGCGUCGGCUGUGAAAACCCGGGGCUCAACCCCGGGCCUGCAGCCGAUACGGGCAGACUAGAGUUCGGCAGGGGAGACUGGAAUUCCUGGUGUAGCGGUGAAAUGCGCAGAUAUCAGGAGGAACACCGGUGGCGAAGGCGGGUCUCUGGGCCGAUACUGACGCUGAGGAGCGAAAGCGUGGGGAGCGAACAGG
rnacentral:rRNA from 1 species